rnacentral:sRNA from 1 species
CUGUGGCCAUUUGGGCUCAAG